AUUGAACGCUGGCGGCAUGCUUUACACAUGCAAGUCGAACGGUAACAGGUCUUCGGAUGCUGACGAGUGGCGAACGGGUGAGUAAUGCAUCGGAACGUGCCCAGUCGUGGGGGAUAACGCAGCGAAAGCUGUGCUAAUACCGCAUACGAACUAUGGAUGAAAGCGGGGGACCGUAAGGCCUCGCGCGAUUGGAGCGGCCGAUGUAAGAUUAGGGAGUUGGUGGGGUAAAGGCCCACCAAGCCAACGAUCUGUAGCUGGUCUGAGAGGACGACCAGCCACACUGGGACUGAGACACGGCCCAGACUCCUACGGGAGGCAGCAGUGGGGAAUUUUGGACAAUGGGCGCAAGCCUGAUCCAGCAAUGCCGCGUGCAGGAGGAAGGCCUUCGGGUUGUAAACUGCUUUUGUACGGAACGAAACGGUCUGGGUUAAUACCCUGGGCUAAUGACGGUACCGUAAGAAUAAGCACCGGCUAACUACGUGCCAGCCGCCGCUGUAAGAC
rnacentral:rRNA from 1 species